GUAUGUNGCAAGCGUUGUCCGGAUUUACUGGGUGUAAAGGGNGNGNAGNCGGAAGGCNAAGUCUGAUGUGAAAUCCNNGGGCUCAACCCCGGUACUGCAUUGGAAACUGGUCAUCUAGAGUGUCGGAGGGGUAAGUGGAAUUCCUAGUGUAGCGGUGAAAUGCGUAGAUAUUAGGAGGAACACCAGUGGCGAAGGCGGAUUNCUGGACGANAACUGACGCUGAGGCUCGAAAGCGUGGGGAGCAAACAGGAUUAGAUACCCUGGUAGUCCACGCUGUAAACGAUGAAUACUAGGUGUNCGANNACUGACCUUUUGCGUGCCGCNGCUAACGCAUUAAGUAUUCCACCUGGGGAGU
rnacentral:rRNA from 1 species